UUUACGUCUUAAAUUUCUACAACUUGCGAGAAGCAUGCUUUCAGGGUAUAUAAAAGCUGAAGAAAACAGUAUGGUCUCAAAACGAAUCGAACUCACUAUAGUAUUGACACUAGACUACCAGCUAAAAGUCAAAAAUCGUAAUCAUGUCUUUUGUACCAGUACUUUGGAACCGCAACAGUCAAAGACAGAAUGAUUCAGAUGACAUGUUCAGCUUCUUGGAUGAGUGGAGCCCCCUUAGUUGGGGGUUUGGUCGCCCCAUGAUGGCCAUGCAGAGAAGACGCAGACCUGAGAAUUCACUUGCAGAUAGAAAAUGGACAUACAGCGUGAAGAUUGGAGACUUCAAUGCAGAACAUGUCAAAGUGAAAGUAGACGACGGUAAGUGUUUAGUCUGAUCAUGGAAGUAUUAUAUUGAUAUAUAUAUACAAUAUAAUACUUCCAUGGUCUGAUUUUUUAACUUUAUAACAGAGGCAAUUUCAGUGGCGGAUCCAGAGGGGGCGUAGAGGGCGUACGCCCCCCUUUUUUGUUUGAACUUUUUUUUUUUAUAUGUCAAAUCAUUAUUCAGACUAGACUUUGCCUCAAUUGCCAAUGGAUAAACCUAUUUUUGUCUACUUGGAUGUGGAUUGUUCUAAAAUUUAGAAUUAACAUUUAAUUUACAAAUGUGUGAACCGAAUCAAAAGUAAUCAUGCAGUAUUAAUUUAAUUGUGCUAUGUUAAGGGCUAUAAGUGGGUAAAGGGGUUCAACUGGAAAGAGGUGCGUGUUUUACGCAGCCCAAUUUUGUCGAUUUCUGUUUUUAAUCGCCCUUUUUCCUUUUUGUUCUCUUUAUAAUUACUAUGUGGAAGAUCGAUGUUCGCAGGCAAGUUGUCUUCUUUUUCAAAACUUUAUUUCUUUAAGCUAUGUAUACAUUAUAUAAAACAGUCCCAGUUUUCUUGUACGAUCGUUUACGUUUAAACAUGUUCAUUGUAAAAUUCUUCCAUGACAACAUUUCACUGUGAAAAUUUGUCCAUGACAAUAUUUUUGCGUGUGAAGUACUGUCCAUGAAGAUAUUUCUUUAUCAAAUUAUUACAAAAAAAGUGCAUGAUGAUUCAUGAUAUAUGUUAUUUACUUCAUAGGCGGACCCAGAGAGGGCUUAGAGGCCGGGGCCCCCCCUUUCAUGAGAAAAAUUUGAUUGAUAGCAUAGAGAAUCACUGAAGCAUGACUGGAGCGCCCCCUUUAAUUUAAGUCAACGGGGCCUCCCUUUAAUACAAAAAGUUCUGGAUCCGCCACUGAACUUCCUCUUCAUGAGAUAAAAUUUCAUGACAAUCUGUCUUAUUACACACAAAAUAUAACCUCCCUUUAACAGAAGAAAAUUACAAAGUAUUUAUCUGUAAUAAUUGUUUAUAUGCAAACAAUGAAAUUCACUCCUUCUCUGGACAUUUUUCAUAGAUGCAAGAUUGUCUUUGGGGAAAUAUUAAAGGACAAACUGUUGCUUUACAAAUAAUCUGCAAUACUGUUGCAGGACUCAAUUGAGUAAUGUUUUGUGUUCGAUCAAUUCCAAGAAGUGAAUAUAUAGCAAAUACAAAUUAUUCCUACGGUAUUUAUGUUCAAACAAUACAGAAUAAACGUAAAAUUAUUGAAAUUAAUAGACAACCAAAAAAGCGUAAUUUGAAAACAGGGGGGAUGGCUUAAUAUCGUCGAGUCGACAUGACAUAAGGCAUAUAUUCAUUAUUCGUAUCGUGGUUAUUAUUAUGAUAUGACAAAUUCAGAUCAGGUUAUUCGUUUACCUAAAAGAGUAAAAAGUACUUUUAUUAUAGGGUUUGAAACUGAUUAUUUGAUUUUUGGGAAACCGAGGUUGGACUAGUAUAGUUCUAUUUAUACACAAUUAUUUCUAGAAUUUUUAAGAAUGUGACAGAUUAAAAAAAACAAUGUUCUGUAGCGCUUAAACUCAAAAGUUUUUUUUCUAUAUUUCAGGUAAAGUAAUUAUUCAUGCUAAGUACACAGACGGUAAUGAUGAAUGGGGAGAUACUGUCGAGCGCACAAGGACAGUCCAGAUUCCAGAAAAUGUUGAUGCCGAAAAAAUUCACAGCUUCAUGAAAUCUGAUGGAACUAUGAUGUUAGAAGCCCCCUACCGCCUGUCAGAGGAGAAGCAACUCCAAGUUGUCCCACAAGAAGGUCGGGCCUUGGUGUCCAGUGACAGCCACAGCAAUUUGAUGACUUUCAGUGUCGACAAUUAUAGGCCAGAAGAGGUAAAAGUUACAUGCAAAGAUGGUAUGUUGACAGCCCAAGGAGAACGACAGAGGUCUGAGGAUGGUCAUGAAAUUCGUGAGUCGUUCUUUCGUCAGAUGACGGUUCCCCGGUCUGUGGAUGGGAAGAACAUCCAAUGCUUUAGAGAUGAUAAAGGGAAUCUUACUAUCCGGGCACCAAUGGCUGAAGAUGUUGAAAUGGAACAAGCCAAAAAGUAGACCUUUUAUGACUUUUAGAUUUAUUUUCAAUUUGUCAUCUUACCAAUUGCUGACUAUACACAUUUGACCAUUUUAUUACUUUAUGAUGAUUUGAUUUAGUGUUCAUUGUUAUUGUUUUUGAAUUACGUUUGGAUGAUUGUGUUAAUUUGCUAGUGAAUUUAUGAUUAAAUGAUGUAUACUUUCAGUUGUAUCAAAAAAGAGGAACAACACUUUAGAUUCUUUUUGUUAACUAGAAACAAGGUUUUGACAAAAGCUUGUUUAACAAUCAUGUGUUAUCUGUAAAUGAACAAUUAUAUCAGUAUUUGUAGUGGAACAAUCAUUGAAUUUUUGUAAUGGAACAAUCAUUGAAUAUGGCAUAAUUUUAGUUCAAUUUAAAAAAGAGAACCUACAUGUUACUUUAUUUACUUUGUUGUUGUCAGAGAUAGACAUUAAAUAUCAUUUAUACAAUGUUUUUAUCAUUUAUGUAUCAAAAUGCAAGGGAACAUUGAUUACCAUAAUAUUGAAUUUUAAAUGAUUCGUUUUCCAUAUAUAUAUAUUAUAUACAUAUUUAAAAAAAAGAUGUUAUGAUUGCCAAUGAAAAAUCCUUUGACAAGAGACUAAAUGACACAGAUAUUAAAAACACGGUCUUCAUCAAUGAUCAAAAUCUUACCGCAUAGUCAGCUUUAAAUGCUUAUUGCCACAAAAACCGAUCAAGUUUGAAUUUUGGUGGCGUCACUUUUACCGUUCUCGGGUUAUGUUCCUUUACAAAAAAAAAAAAGAUGAUUUUUUCGUUUCCGUUCCAAACUUUAGUUUGCCUCAACUAAAUUAUAUGCAACUUUUACACAAUGAUCAGUAUCACAAAACACAGAUAAUGUUUGGUAGCGUCACUUUUACUGUCCUAGAUUAUACUCCUUUUCAAUUGGAAAAAAAUGCUGACAUAUUUAUUUCUGUUCUCUUAAGUUUACCGCAAGUAAAUGUGACGAAAGUUAUAAGCAAGCUUAUUACCACAAAACUCAGAUCAAGUACAAAUUUUCGUAGCGGCACUUUAACUGUUCCUGAGGUUAUGUCCCUUUAUAAAGUUAUGCACAAACGGGUCAUCAUCUGUUUUCCAUGGACAUAUUCCUCAUAUACUAGUUCUUCAGUAUCGGUUUGCUAAUGAUUUAAACAUAUUUUGUCAGCCCCUUCCAAAAAAUGAACAUUUAGAAUAAAUUUCUUAAAUUGGAAUUUGAUAACAAAUUAUUUGGAUUUAAAAAAACUUGAAACCGCUCAAGGCUUUAGUUGUCAACGUCCUGUGAAAGUAAAAAUGCGGCAUAGUGUUAAGUUUAAAGUCUCGUGUUUGAUGAAAAUGAAUUAACCUUAAGUAACAUUGGUGUUGCCUGACAUGGAAAAUAUGUACAUUAGGGAUAAAAUUAUAAUGUUUUUAUUUUAGUUGACUUGGCCAUAAUGAUAUAGCUUUUGCCAUCACUUGUUCUCCGUCGUAAACUUUACCUAGAUGUUCAUUGAUAUGAUCCAUCACCCAUCAUGCCCGCUGUUGCUAAAAUUAGAACAAUUUAGUUACAUCAAAGCAGUUAGAGAGCUUAUGGGGUAAAAAUGAGACGCCGGUCAAGACCUGUCCUUCAAUUAAUUUUGAGAAAAGAAUACUAUAUUCAGUUGUAGAGAUAUUGUUCCUGAACUGUCAAUAUUUAGAAAAUUUCGAUUAAUGGUUAAUUUAUUGAAAAAUGUAAUUGAUAGAUAGAGAUAUCAAACCGUACAAAUGACAGAAAAUAAAAUCUACAAAUAAGUCACAUGUAUCAAAUCAUUUAUUGAUCCCUCAUAUCGACCAAAAACACUCGAAAGAAGAUUUGUUUGAAUCUAUGGGACGCAUAUUUAGCUCACCUAGCUAAUUAGGCGGGUUCGCCCCGAUAUUCUGAAACACCAUUAGUCUGACAACCCUUGGGUGGAGAUUUGUCUUGUUAACAGUCAUGCCACAUGUUCUUAUUUUUUUUUAUAUUAACACUAGAUAGAAAGAGUUCUGGUGGAAUGCUGCUAGUUCGAAUAAUAUUUCGAUUUACUUGAGAAAUAUGAUAUAUAUAUAUAUAUAUAUAUAUAUAUAUAUAUAAAUCACGUUUCUUUUGUCGGUUCCUUUUGUCGUAAUUUGGAAAAAAAAUCGGCUGUUGCCUGCUCUAUGGUCGGGUUGUUAUCGCUUUGACACAUUCCUUAUUUCCAUUCUCAAUUUUAAUUUUACUUCAAGGUAAAACAACAUGCAACUACUACCUAUGUAAAACCUGGUUUUUCUGUGGAGAAGUGUAUCAUUGGCAAUCAUAACACAUGUUGCAUGAGUAAGUUGAGGGGGAUUUUUUUUUUUUUUUUUUUUUUUUUUUUUUUGUACUCGAAUCCAGAAAAGAAGAAAUGUAAUGUAUAUGACGUUACGCAUGUUAUUGGUGUGACUUUUUGUAACGUCUUAUAUAUGUAACAUCAAAGUCGUGUACUAUAUUGACGUGUUGUAUAAUUGCCUUCCAUCAUAGCCUUUAAACUCAAUAAAAGGCGAUACGGGUAUACACCAUGUUCUCUUUAUUAGAAAAAAAGAGAAAAUGAAGUAUGCGUAUUGUCACUGGGGUAAAGCUGAUGACCGUAACUGCAUUCACGGUCAUCCCAAGAUGUCGGAUGAAAAAUUAGGUCAGUUUCUGUAUUGUCUGUUAAAGUGUUUCUAUAUCAUCUUCUUUACAAAUCAUACAUUGAAACGAUGUAAAUUUAUAAAAGAAUCACUCGAAAAUCACUAAUUACUUCCGAGAAAUGUGCAUGAAACGGGAAAUUCGAUUUGAAAAAAUCGUUAAGAUGACCGUAAAUCAUAAUCAAAAUAUUUUCAAGAUGACCGUAACAUAAAACAAGGAUGACCGUGAUUGGUAAAAAGAUGACCGUAACUUGUAAAGGAUGACCGUAAUUUGUAAAGACUGACUGUAAUUUAUAUAGGACGACCGUAACUUUUAUAGGAUGACCAUCAAUUCUAAGAAAUAUCCGUAUUGUAUUAAGGUUUUUUGUUGAGUUUGUCGAUCUCAAUAGGGCUCGGUUAGCGGAUAUAAAUAUGUUUCAUAAAUUUCUUUUUUUAAACUAUAAUAUAAUUGGCCAUAUUUAGGAUUUCUAACAAUGAUAGUAAAUUGCAUAUUUCUCGUAAACAAUGAAAUAUUUACUUGAUAUCGACGUUAAAAUUUUAACACAAAUUAACAGCGAUACGACGAAAAUUUGAAGAAACAUGCAUGUGUCCCUAGUACACGGAUGCCUCAUCUACACCAUGAUUUUCUAUGUUUAGUGGACUAUGAAAAUGGGAUAAAACUGUAAUUUGGCAUUAGAAUUAAAAAGAUCAUACCAUAGGGAAAAUGUGUACUAAGUUUCAAUUUUAUUUAACUUGAAGCUGGACAAACGGACAAAACAAACAGACGAACGGACGAACGUACGCACAGACCAGAAAAACAUAAUGCCAAUAAAUGGAGCAUUAAAAACAUUAAUAAUACAUACGAAUAUUUGGUAAUCGAGCCCAUGUGUAUGGUUCCAGAGGAAGCAGAUUAAAAUCUUAAUUUGUCUUGAUAUAUGCACAAAAAAAUAAAGAAUCGAAGCUCUGUGUUUAUCGAGAAAGCGAUAAAUGUUAACUGUAAUGUUUGAUAUAGUAACAAAAUUUUAAAAAGUUAAUAGAAACAAAUAAAACGACAAUUUUCUUAUUUUAAAAACACCAUUUGCAUAAGUUUUCAAUGUAUCUAUAACAUAGUAAUGCAAAACAAUAAGAUAUCAAGUCGACGACAUGGUUCUUAUCGGGGUCUUUUAUAGCUGACUAUGCGGUAUGGGCUUUGCUCAUUGUUGAAGGCCUUACGGUUACCUAUAGUUGUUAAUGUUUGUGUCAUUUUGGUCUUUUCUGGAUAGUUGUCUCAUUGGCAAUAAUACCACAUCUUCUUUUUAUAUAUAGUAUCUAUAAGUUGGAUGUAGAAAAUGCAAAACCUCCGAUUUUUUUUUAUCACGGACGGAGAACAUAUCAAUCUUUUAGUUCAGAAAUUUUCGUGUCUGCCCUUCCAUUAUGUGAAUCAAGAAAAAAUUCCCCAAAACAGGUAACGAUUGUAUCGAAAAGAGAAAAAUCGAGUGCACCUUUUUAUGUUAGGCCAUGUUUGGGGUGUAUAUUUUGUCUUUAAAACGUACAAAGCAAGAGUAUUUUAUAUAGCAUCUCGCUUCAGAUUCUAUCAUUAUUAUAUAUCAAAGCUACAGGUUGACUUUAUAACGUAAAAAAUGACAGUACGAAAAGAUGAAAUAUAUGGGUCAAGUAAGACACCUAUCUAAUGAAUAACAAAAACAGAGUAGGUGUGUUCGAAUAGCUGUUUUUUUCUAAAAGUACUUGACGACAGUCUUUUAAUUUGGAUGAUGAAAAUGGAUAUCUUCGAAAAAAUAUGAUUUUCUUUUGUGUGAUAACUAGGGUUUAUAAUCUUCAACCACUGAAAAUGUUUAGUCUGCCCUUCCACGAAAUAUUUAAUAAGAAUUUUUUUAAAUGCUUAAGAAUUUUCAAAAAUUCCAUCUGACAUCCGAACAGACAAUAUUUUUUAGUUGAAUCAAUGCAGACAAGAUCAUUAACUAAUGCUCAUGAGCUAGUAGAUAAUUUGUCUUUUAAAAUAUAACUGACAUAUAACGAUCGAUCGUAAUGGUGCUAUGUGGAUAAAUUUAUCAGUUUUCAAGGGCAAAAUUGGCAGAGUGUCAUCCCUACAAUGGCUUCCAUUUCUACGUUUGUGAGCAUGAACUGGCGUAAUGGGGAGAUAAUUUUGAAGAAGUAGAAUCCUGGCUGUAUGAAUAACAUUUCUGUAUAUACACAAAUUGACAACGUUCCGCCUUGUGAUACGCUUUUCGUACAAUACUAUUUUAAGGAUCUACUUUGCUGGAGCUCACCUUCACUAGUUUAUUCGAAUGAUAUUUUCAAAAUAUUUCUGUUAUUUUAUUUGCACGACAAAAUGAAAGACGAUAUAAUAUCAAUGGGUGUACAUGCAAUUUUUUGGCAUUUUUAAAAAUGUGUAUUUAUUAUAUGUCAUUAAAAAGGAAUCCCAGAAACAAAAAAAAAUCUUUUGUAGAGCAGUUGAAGGCUGUGCACCGCAUUUUUUUCAUUAUGCUUGUAAGGUGUCAUUUUAUCGCGCUUUUUUAGCAUGUUUUCCCUUCCUGUUCAUUUGCAUGUCUUUUGGGAAAUUCAUUUUAAAAAUUAAACCCUCUACUGUAAAAAAGAUACAUAUGGUAAUCUUUGCAUUUGAAGCACGUCUUAUUUUCUUCUACCUAUAGGAUAAAACUCUCAUAUUAAUAUGUGUAUACCAACACGAUUAAUCAUUUGAUACAAAAAGAUAGUUAUAUAAAUACGGAUAUUUCUUAGAAUUGAGGGUCAUCCUUUAAAAGUUACGGUCAUCAUUUACAAAUUACGGUCAUCUUAAAAGCAGUUACGGUCAGCCUUGUUAUGAAUCGCUGAUUCUGUUACGGUCAUCUCGAUUGUGAUUUACGGUCAUCUUGGCGAUUUUUUCAAAUCGAAUUUCCCGUUUCAUGCACAUUUCUCAGAAGUAAUUAGUGAUUUCCGAGUGAUUCUUUUAUAAAUUUACAUCGUUUCAAUGUAUGAUUUGUAAAGAAAAUGAUACAGAAACACUCUAACAGACAAUACAGAAACUGACCUAAUUUUUCAUCCGACAUCUUGGGAUGACCGUGAAUGCAGUUACGGUCAUCAGCUUUACCCCAGUGAUUGUGUUCUAUGAAGAAAGAAGAUAUUCAGUAAUUGGUCAUAAGGAUUUGUCACCUAUAAUUUGUUAUAUAUUUCAUAAAAAUCUACGUUUAUUCAUAAAGAAUAUUAAGGGACUAUUUUAUGUUGGGUUUUAAUCAAAUUGGUACCAACAGAAGGUUUAUUCGUUUAUUUAGUGAUAUAUUUGUUGGGAAGCGUUAAUAUACGUUUGUAAACACGAAAUUUAUUUUAUCCUAAAAUUUGCUUAAUAUUCCAACCAAUUUUAAAAUUAAAAAAAAAAAAAGUAACUGAAGAAACAUUUUAUUAAACAUAAAUAUAAGUAUUUUUACAGUUCUGCGACUUUCAACACAUGGUUUGUAAAUGCUGUCAAAAUGUAGUUUUUCAUAAAAUUCUAAUGAUUUUUAUAUUCACUAACCGAUUUAUUUGUAUUUUUAGAAAGCCAGAACUAUAAUAAAAAAAAAUAUAUGUAAAACGUGCUUUUAAUUUAUUGCUUUAUUGUUUCCUAAAAUAGUAAAUGGGUGUGAAAAAGAUGAAAAAUCCCUUGUUAAAUUAAUAAACAUUACUGGUAAGAACAGAAUUAUAUAUAUAGGUUUAGCUAACUAUAAAACAAGGUUUUAAUCCACCAUUUUCUACAUAAGAAAAUGCCUGUACCAAGUUAGGUAUAUGACAGUUGUUAUCCAUUCGUUUGGGCUUUUGAUUUUGCCAUUUGAUUGUAAGAGACUUUCCGUUUUGAAUUUUCCUCGGAGUUCAGUAUUUUAGUGAUUUUGAUUUUUGUCGAGUCUUCGACUUUAGUCGAAAAAGCUUUUGAAAUUUUAAUAACUUUCUUAAACUAUACUGAAUUUCUAUCAAACUUGAACAGAAGCUUGUUUAUGAUUAUAAGAAAGUAUCCAGAAGUAACUUUUGUCAAAAUAAAAUUCCAUUUUUUCCGUAUUUUACUUAUAAAUGGACUUAGUUUUUUUUGCCAGAAACAAAACAUUCACUCUGUGGUUUAAGUUUUUAAAAUUUUUAUAAUGUUCUUAAACUAUCCUGGAUUUCUAUUAAACUUAGACAAAAGCUUGUUUCUGAUCAUAAGAUAUUAUUCAGAAGUAAAUUUUGUUUAAAAAAAUCCCUUUUUCCGUAUUUUACUUAUAAAUGGACUUAGUUUUUCUUGAAGUAAACAGUACAUACAGUCUGCAGUUAACGUUUAUAAAACAUUUAUUAGAUUCAUAAACUAUCCUGGAUUAAACUUGGAAGCUUCUUUCAAUCAAAAGACAGUAUCGAGAGGGAAAUUUUUGUUGAUGUUUUUCCUCAUUUUUGUUGAGUCUGCGAUUAACAGCAAAAUUAGGCGAGACACUGGGUUCCGUGGAACCCUUACGAAUUUUUAUAUACAAGUAUUUAUAUAACUUGACACGUUCAAACCGAAAAUAUUUGAAAACUGAUUGAUUGAGUGUUGGUGUUUCAUCAGUAUAUUAAAGGAGAAGAAAAUGUUUAUUUCUAUUAAAUGGGCCCACAAAGAGCAUAUAAAAUGUCCCACGUUAGGGGAGGGUUUGGAUCCUACUAACAUGUUUAACCCCGCCACAUUAUGUAUGUAUGAGCCUGUCCCAAGUCAGGAGCCUGUAAUUCAGUGGUUGUCGUUUGUUGAUGUGUUACAUAUUUAUUUUUCGUUCAUUUUUUUAUAUAAAUAAAGCCGUUAGUUUUCUCUUUUGAAUUGUUUUACAUUGUCAUUUCGGGCCUUUAUAGGUGACUAUACGGUAUGGACUUUGCUGAUUGUUGAAGGCCGUACGGUGACCUAUCAUGAGUUGUUAAUUUCUGUGUCAUUUAGAUCUCUUGGGAGAGUUGUCUCAUUGGCAAUCAUACCACAUCUUCUUUUUUUUAUACAAUACGAGACAUUAUUUAAGACAUCAACAGGAAAAACAGAAAACAUGGUGUCAAAAAUUUGUAUUAUUUGCAGAGGAAACCGCAGUGCACGAUCAUCGGCCUUAAGCCAACCUUGACAAUCCUAGUAAAUAAGGUUCAUCGAAUUUACAACCUCGAUCCUAAUAAUUACUGUAGAUAUACUUCGUAGAAAGCUCGGAAAACCAGGCCUCGGAAAUUCUUGAAAUGAUAACAAAAAAUAUGGGUAUGAUUGACGAUGAAACAAUUCUCUACCAAAGAUUUAAUAACUGCAGAUCACCGUACGGCCGUCAACAAUGAACAAAAUCCAUACCGCGCAGUAAACUAUAAAUGGCCCUGCAUUAGAAUUAUGUAAAACAAUUCAAACGAGAAAAGUAACGGGCCCACGACUAGGGUCAGGCACAUACAGAAUGUGGCGAUGUUUAACAUGUUUGCUGCAUGACCCUCCCCUAACCUAGAUGUAUACACAUAGAAAUACAUAUAGGAUGAAUCUGAUGAUCAGUAGUUGUCGCUUGUUGAUGUGGUCUUAAGUGUUUCUCCUUUCUCGUUUUUUACAUAGAUUAGACCAUUGGUUUUCCCGUUUAAAUGGUUUUACACUAGUAGUUUUUGAGACCCUAAAUAGCCUGCUGUGAGGUGUGGGCCAAGUCUCCGUGUUGAAGACCGUACUUUGACCAAUAAUGGUUUACUUUUAUAAAUUGUGACUUUGAUGAAGAGUUGCCUUAUUGGCACUCAUACCACAUUUUAUAUCUAUAUAACAAAAACACGUGGACGUGACCGAGGACUUGAACGUCCGAACAACAAGUACAGAUCUGAGAGUACUCACAUUUAUACAUAAAUAACUUUUUUUAGCGAUAACUGAAAACAUGCAAAUAACUGUCUAAUCAAUCUUGUCUGCAUACUUAUCAACAUUUGCAUAUCUGUUAUUUUUUCGUUCUUUGUAUGUUUCAAAUACAUCAUUUUUUUUUAGAUUUUACAAAGUAUGUAUGAAUGUGUAAAAUACAUAAAAUGUCAGGUUAUUUGUUUGUAGAGAAAAAUAGUUCGUUUAGAAUUAUUAAGGGAGAAAAAAGUAGCGAAAUGCUUCCUAAUGAAACACCCUUUUUUGACAAAUGAACAUAGUUAUACAUAUAAAAAAAAAUGUAUAUUUAAAAAAAAUUGUUCCUGAAGCCUAUAUAAUCUGUCAUAUGUGUUUACCUUUACACAUAGGCAUACAAAAAGGUACGUGUCGAUGACGGAUCCAGGGAGGGGGAGGUGUUCCGGUGGUUGGAACCUCCCCUCCCCUUUUUUGACCGAUCAAUGCAUUUGAAUGGGGACAUGUGGUUGGAACCCCCCUUUUAUCCUGGGUUGGGAAGCCCCCUUUUAAAAAUGGCUGGAUCUGCCCGUACGUGUAAUAUUGAAAAUUGUGUUUAUUUCAAUCACGUAAUGAAUAAGAUCGAGCAAUCUAAUUAAAUACCGAUCUCUCAUCGCACCCGUUUUCUGAUAUGUCGCGAGCUCCAACGCGACAUAUCAGAAAACGGGAGCGAUGAGAGAUCGGUAUUUAAUUAGAUUGACGAUCGAGUUAACUCUUAGAUUUUUUUAGUUGCUUUCUAAUUACCAUAUACAUACUUAUUUUAAUUACAUUCAGAAUCCUUUAUAUACUUCUCAUUAAUCAAAUGUUUGCUACAUAGUGUUCAAUUCAAAAAAUAGUUUUGUUGAAAUGGUGUUUAACAUCCAGUGUCAAAUAUUACAUACAUAUAAUAUUUCAAUUAACUACAUUAGUGUGUUUUUUUUUUGGGUUUUUUUUUUUUUUAUCAAAUUAAAAAAAAUUAGUUUUCCCGAAAAAAACAAAAACAAAAUAACAAUGCCACCCAAAAAGCCUGUACCAAAAAGAUGACGGCUCGGUAUGUUCCCAUGAACACUGUGCUUAAACGGCUGUGGUUAAGUUACCCGUUUAAACCCAGUGAUGAAUAUCUACUUUCUCUUUGAAUUUAUCUAAAUAGCAUUCAUAUUCAAAUUGAUUAAAACAAAAUGUUAUACUGCCAAAAUAAUGAAACGGUUUGUAUGUAUAUUUUGGGGUUCUAAAAUAAAGUCUGCUGGAUGUUGAUGAAAUAGAAUACAAUAGAAUAUGAAUAGAUAAUCAAUAUUUAUAAAAAUAACAUUCUAGAUCAUACUAGAUUAUAACCUUGAACCCGAAUAAGUUAUUUACGUUGUUUAUAUUUAGAAACCGGUAUUUUUCCUUUGUUUACAUUCUACAACUUACGAGAAUCCACCUCUCGAACUAUAUAAAAGCCGAAGAGACAGUAUGGUAUCAAAAGGAAACGGACAUUCCAUGUUAACAGUACUAGACUAUCAUUAACCAGGUAAAAAUCGAAAUCAUGUCUUUUAUCCCAGUACUUUGGAACCGCUACAACCAAAGGCAGAAUGAUUCUGAGGACAUGUUCCACUUCAUGGAUGACUGGAACCCAAUGCCCUUUAGCUGGGGGUUUGGCCGCCCCACGAUACAGAGAAGACGCAGACCUGAGAAUUCACUCGAGGAUAGAAAGUGGACCUACAGUGUGAAGCUUGGAGACUUCGAUGAACAACACGUCAAAGUGAAAGUAGAUGGUGGUAAGUAUUUAUUUGAUAAUAGCUGGGACGAUCAUAGAUAUUUGGCGACAGGACAUUUUUUUCUGAAGCCCUCGUCCUUGUUUUCUAUUAAUUUUAGGAAAAUGAAUAAAAUGGAAAUAACGUACGUGUAUGAAAAAUUUGCCUUUCGCUAUCAAUAUCAAUUUGUCUUUCCACAGCGGUCACUGAUAUAUCAUGAUGUACGAUAAAAACAAAAAUUAUGUGAAACCUUCAUGGAUUUUUAUGAAAUUUGUGUAUGACCAAAUUACAGUAUCCAGAGUAAAAUUUUGAAAUUAUUUAUUUUCAUUUAUCUGUUUCUGCUUAUAAACGGACUUUUUUUGCAGUUUUACAAGUAGAUAUAGUCUGGAGUUUAAGUUUGUUACGCAUCAAUUACUUUGUAAAAUAUUCAUAGAAAUCCAUGUGUAAAUUCAUAUAUUCUCGCAUAGUGGCUAUGCUUGAAAUAAGACAGCAAUUCAGAACAGGGUAUUUGUUUUCUUAGUAUUAAUGUUAGGGUAAGGGGAUGAUCGUUUGGUUUAUUGGGGCUCGGGUUAUGGACGAAACAACCGUUUAAUCCAAGAUUAUAUAUAUAUUAUGGAAUUCGAUAAAGUAAAAAAAUAUUCGUGAGCGCUUAAACUCAACAAGUUUUUUUUUUCUAUAAUUCAGGUAAAGUAAUAAUUCAUGCUAAGUACACAGAUGGUAAUGAUGAAUGGGGAGAUACUGUCGAGCGCACAAGGACAGUCCAGAUUCCAGAGAAUGUUGAUGCCGAAAAAAUUCAUAGCUUCAUGAAAUCUGAUGGAACUAUGAUGUUAGAAGCCCCGUACCGUGUGUCAGAGGAGAAGCAACUCCAAGUUGUCCCACAAGAAGGUCGGUCCUUGGUGGCCAGUGACAGCCACAGCAAUUUGAUGACAUUCAAUGUCGAAAAUUAUCGGCCAGAGGAGGUGAAGGUUUUAUGUAAAGAUGGAAUGUUGACAGCCCAAGGAGAACGAAAGAGGUCUGAGGAUGGUCAUGAAAUUCGUGAGUCGUUCUUUCGUCAGAUGACAGUUCCGCGGUCUGUGGAUGGGAAGAACAUCCAAUGUUUUAGAGAUGAUAAAGGGAAUCUUACUAUCCGGGCACCAAUGGCUGAAGAUGUUGAAAUGGAACAAGCCAAAAAGUAGACCCAUUGUAACUUUCAGUUGUACUUGAUUAAAUCAUUUUAUUAAUUACAGACUAUAGACAUUUUAACUCAUUUCUUUAUGAUUUGAUUUUGUGUUCAUUGUUAUUUUUUUGAAUGACGAAAAAAGUAAUUCUUGUUAAGAAGAAUAUGUGUAAAAUGUGUUUGCGAACCAAUAGUUGAAUGAUGCACACCGUCAACUCAAUAAAACUUGCUGUUUGUAAAUUUUUACCCUUUUUGAAUAAUAAAGAUAACAUUUUGAGAAAGCUUGUUUAACAAUCAUGUAUAUUUUGUAAAGGAAUAUAUCAUUAAUUAUAGUACAAUCAUUGACUAUUUGCAUAUGAACAAUCAUGUAGAACAAUCAUUAAAUAUCGCAUAAUUUUAGUUCAAUUUGAAAAAGAGAACAUGUUUGUUACUUUAUUUACUUUGUUUUUGUCAGAGAUAGACAUUAAAUAUCAUUUAUAAAA
rnacentral:lncRNA from 1 species